rnacentral:rRNA from 1 species
UUGUAAGUUUCGGGAUCGAAAUUGUUGGUCGUGCUCCGGUACGCACUGGCAUUAUCGGUUCCUACCUUCUGAAGAACCGCGAUGUCAUUAAUUUGGUGUCGUGGGGGAAUCAGGACUGUUACUUAGAAAAAAUUAGAGUUAGNUUAAAGCAGGCGCACGCUUGAAUACAUUAGCAUGGAAUAAUGAAAUAGGACGUUUGAUUCUAUUUUGUUGGUUUCUAGGAUCGACGUAAUGAUUAAUAGGGAUAGUUGGGGGCAUUAGUAUUCAAUUGUCAGAGGUGAAAUUCUUGGAUUUAUUGAAGACUAACUACUGCGAAAGCAUUUGCCGAGGAUGUUUUCAUUAAUCAAGAACGAAAGUUAGGGGAUCGAAGACGAUCAGAUACCGUCGUAGUCUUAACCAUAAACUAUGCCGACUAGGGAUCGGAUGAUGUUAAUUUUAAUGACUC